rnacentral:miRNA from 1 species
AUCCCCAGAUACAGUGGACAAUAUG